GUCAGCCUGGUAUAGUGGUUUGAGCAUCGGACUAUGACUCUGGAGACCAGGGUUCGAAUCUCCACUCAGUCA